GAUGAAGAACGCAGCGAAAUGCGAUAAUUAAUGUGAAUUGCAGAAUUCCGUGAAUCAUCGAGUCUUUGAACGCACAUUGCGCCUCAUGGCAUUCCGUGAGGCAUGCCCAUCUCUGCGUUAGAAAAUAUUCUCAAAUUUUAGUUUUGUGCUAAAAUUUGGAUCAUGUCAAGGAAGCUAUUACUAUUAUUGUGAUCGCUCUUUGGAAAUUGAUAGGUCUUUGAGUUGCUACUCAUAGAACGUGAUGAAUCUUUCUUCGUUCUAUUGUAAUUCACUCUGGUAGUCCUAAAACUUGUAUGCCUGUGGCAUAUCUUGUAAUUUGACCUGAGAUUGGGUAGGGAUACCCGCUGAACUUAAGCAUAUCAAUAAGCGGAGGA
rnacentral:misc_RNA from 1 species